GAUGAACGCUGGCGGCGUGCCUAAUACAUGCAAGUCGAGCGAACAGACGAGGAGCUUGCUCCUCUGACGUUAGCGGCGGACGGGUGAGUAACACGUGGAUAACCUACCUAUAAGACUGGGAUAACUUCGGGACACCGGCGCUAAUACCGUAUAAUAUAUUGAACCGCAUGGUUCAAUAGUGAAAUACGGUUUUUCUGUCACUUCUAGAUGGAUCCGCGCCGCAUUAUCUAGUUGGUAAGGUAACGGCUUACCAAGGCAACGAUGCGUAGCCGACCUGAGAGGGUGAUCGGCCACACUGGAACUGAGACACGGUCCAGACUCCUACGGGAGGCAGCAGUAGGGAAUCUUCCGCAAUGGGCGAAAGCCUGACGGGGCAACGCCGCGUGAGUGAUGAAGGUCUUCGGAUCGUAAAACUCUGUUACUAGGGAAGAACAAAUGUGUAAGUAACUAUGCACGUCGUGACGGUACCUAAUCAGAAAGCCACGGCUAACUACGUG
rnacentral:rRNA from 1 species